GCCGCAGUAGCUCAGAGGUAGAGCACUCCCUUGGUAAGGGAGAGGUCGAGAGUUCGAUUCUCUCCUGCGGCACCA
rnacentral:tRNA from 1 species